rnacentral:rRNA from 2 species
AGCGAACGCUGGCGGCAGGCUUAACACAUGCAAGUCGAGCGGGCGUAGCAAUACGUCAGCGGCAGACGGGUGAGUAACGCGUGGGAACGUACCUUUUGGUUCGGAACAACACAGGGAAACUUGUGCUAAUACCGGAUAAGCCCUUACGGGGAAAGAUUUAUCGCCGAAAGAUCGGCCCGCGUCUGAUUAGCUAGUUGGUGAGGUAAUGGCUCACCAAGGCGACGAUCAGUAGCUGGUCUGAGAGGAUGAUCAGCCACAUUGGGACUGAGACACGGCCCAAACUCCUACGGGAGGCAGCAGUGGGGAAUAUUGGACAAUGGGGGCAACCCUGAUCCAGCCAUGCCGCGUGAGUGAUGAAGGCCCUAGGGUUGUAAAGCUCUUUUGUGCGGGAAGAUAAUGACGGUACCGCAAGAAUAAGCCCCGGCUAACUUCGUGC